GGAAGGUGAUGAGUGGGUCUAAUCUCGCUGAUAACAUGCGGGAUGGGUGUUCGCCCCAACGCCUGGUUACGACGCUCGGGCACCCCAAUCUUAACCAUUCUGAUUCC